rnacentral:rRNA from 1 species
GCUCAGGACGAACGCUGGCGGCGUGCCUAAUACAUGCAAGUAGAACGCUGAAGAGAGGAGCUUGCUCUUCUUGGAUGAGUUGCGAACGGGUGAGUAACGCGUAGGUAACCUGCCUUGUAGCGGGGGAUAACUAUUGGAAACGAUAGCUAAUACCGCAUAACAAUAGAUGACUCAUGUCAUUUAUUUGAAAGGGGCAAAUGCUCCACUACAAGAUGGACCUGCGUUGUAUUAGCUAGUAGGUGAGGUAACGGCUCACCUAGGCGACGAUACAUAGCCGACCUGAGAGGGUGAUCGGCCACACUGGGACUGAGACACGGCCCAGACUCCUACGGGAGGCAGCAGUA